GUUGAACGCUGGCGGCGUGCCUAAUACAUGCAAGUCGAGCGAACAGACGAGGAGCGCGCCUCUCUGACGUUAGGGGCGGACGGGUGAGUAAUAGGAAGAUAACCUACAUAUAAGAAUGGGAUAACUUAGGGAAACCGGAGACAACACAGGACAAGAUAUAGAACCGCAUGGUUCAAUAGUGAAAGACGGUUCUGCUGUCACUUAUAGAUGGUACCGCGCUGCAUUAGCUAGUUGGUAAGGUAACGGCUUACCAAGGCAACGAUGCGUAGCCGACCUGAGAGGGUGAUCGGCCACACUGGAACUGAGACACGGUCCAGACUCCUACGGGAGGCAGCAGUAGGGAAUCUUCCGCAAUGGGCGAAAGCCUGACGGAGCAACGCCGCGUGAGUGAUGAAGGUCUUCGGAUCGUAAAACUCUGUUAUUAGGGAAGAACAAAUGUGUGAGUAACUAUGCACGUCUUGACGGUACCUAAUCAGAAAGCCACGGCUAACUACGUG
rnacentral:rRNA from 1 species